rnacentral:rRNA from 1 species
AUUGAACGCUGGCGGCAGGCUUAACACAUGCAAGUCGAGCGGAGAUGAGGUGCUUGCACCUUAUCUUAGCGGCGGACGGGUGAGUAAUGCUUAGGAAUCUGCCUAUUAGUGGGGGACAACAUUCCGAAAGGAAUGCUAAUACCGCAUACGUCCUACGGGAGAAAGCAGGGGAUCUUCGGACCUUGCGCUAAUAGAUGAGCCUAAGUCGGAUUAGCUAGUUGGUGGGGUAAAGGCCUACCAAGGCGACGAUCUGUAGCGGGUCUGAGAGGAUGAUCCGCCACACGGGAACUGAGACACGGCCCAGACUCCUACGGGAGGCAGCAGUGGGGAAUAUUGGACAAUGGGGGGAACCCUGAUCCAGCCAUGCCGCGUGUGUGAAGAAGGCCUUAUGGUUGUAAAGCACUUUAAGCGAGGAGGAGGCUACUGAGACUAAUACUCUUGGAUAGUGGACGUUACUCGCAGAAUAAGCACCGGCUAACUCUGUGCCAGCCGCCGCGGUAA